UACGGAGGGUGCAAGCGUUAUCCGGAUUCACUGGGUUUAAAGGGUGCGUAGGUGGGUCUGUAAGUCAGUGGUGAAAUCUCCAAGCUUAACUUGGAAACUGCCGUUGAUACUAUAGACCUUGAAUGCUGUGGAGGUGAGCGGAAUAUGUCAUGUAGCGGUGAAAUGCUUAGAUAUGACAUAGAACACCAAUUGCGAAGGCAGCUCACUACCCAGAUAUUGACACUGAGACGCGAAAGCGUGGGGAGCAAACAGG
rnacentral:rRNA from 1 species